UACGAGGGAUGCAAGCGUUAUCCGGAAUUAUUGGGCGUAAAGCGUACGCAGGUGGCUAUUCAAGUCUUUUGUUAAAGCGUGAGGCUCAACCUCAUAAAGGCAGAAGAAACUGGAUGGCUAGAGUAUGGUAGGGGCAGGAGGAAUUCCCGGUGUAGCGGUGAAAUGCGUAGAUAUCGGGAAGAACACCAGCGGCGAAAGCGUCCUGCUAAGCCAAAACUGACACUCAUGUACGAAAGCUAGGGGAGCGAAUGGG
rnacentral:rRNA from 1 species